rnacentral:rRNA from 1 species
UACGAAGGGGGCGAGCGUUGUUCGGAAUCAUUGGGCGUAAAGGGCGCGUAGGUGGCGGGACAAGCGUGCGGUGAAAGCCUGGGGCUCAACCCCGGGUCGGCCGUGCGAACUGUUUUGCUUGAGCACUGUAGAGGCAGGCGGAAUUCCGGGUGUAGCGGUGGAAUGCGUAGAGAUCCGGAAGAACACCGGUGGCGAAGGCGGCCUGCUGGGCAGUUGCUGACACUGAGGCGCGACAGCGUGGGGAGCAAACAGG